UACGGAGGGUGCGAGCGUUAAUCGGAAUUACUGGGCGUAAAGGGUGCGUAGGUGGUUUGAUAAGUUAUCUGUGAAAUUCCUGGGCUUAACCUGGGCAUGUCAGAUAAGACUGUUAGACUGGAGUACGGGAGAGGGCAGUGGAAUUUCCGGUGUAGCGGUGAAAUGCGUAGAGAUCGGAAGGAACACCGGUGGCGAAGGCGGCUGCCUGGCCUGAUACUGACACUGAAGUACGAAAGCGUGGGGAGCAAACAGG
rnacentral:rRNA from 1 species